UGGGGAAUAUUGGACAAUGGGGGGAACCCUGAUCCAGCCAUGCCGCGUGUGUGAAGAAGGCCUUAUGGUUGUAAAGCACUUUAAGCGAGGAGGAGGGUACUGGUAUUAAUACUACCAGGUACUGGACGUUACUCGCAGAAUAAGCACCGGCUAACUCUGUGCCAGCAGCCGCGGUAAUACAGAGGGUGCGAGCGUUAAUCGGAUUUACUGGGCGUAAAGCGUGCGUCGGCGGCUAAUUGAGUCGGAUGUGAAAUCCGCGAGCUUAACUUGGGAAUUGGAUUGGAUAAUGGUUAGGUAGAGUGUGGGAGAGGAUGGUAGAAUUACAGGUGUAGCGGUGAAAUGCGGAGAGAUCUGGAGGAAUAAAGAUGGCGAAGGCAGCCAUCUGGCCUAACACGGACGCUGAGGUACGAAAGCAUGGGGAGCAAACAGG
rnacentral:rRNA from 1 species